rnacentral:rRNA from 1 species
UGACCUCAAAUCAGGUAGGACUACCCGCUGAACUUAAGCAUAUCAAUAAGCGGAGGAAAAGAAACCAACCGGGAUUGCCUCAGUAACGGCGAGCGAAGCGGCAAAAGCUCAAAUUUGAAAUCUGCGUAAGCCGAGUUGUAAUUUGAAGAUGGCUACUUUGGUAAUGGCCCUUGUCUAUGGUCCUUGGAACAGGACGUCACAGAGGGUGAGAAUCCCGUGCGAUGAGAUGCCCAUUACCGUGUAAAGUGCUUUCGAAGA